rnacentral:snRNA from 1 species
GACGCUCUACAUCUCCCUCCUGAGGUUGAGCAAGUGAGCCCGGCGCCUUCCCCGCCUCAUUUCAUCGACGCUUUGCGCAGGCUCGUGGCCUCGUGAGCACAUGCA